UACGGGGGGGGCAAGCGUUGUUCGGAAUUACUGGGCGUAAAGGGCUCGUAGGCGGCCAACUAAGUCAGACGUGAAAUCCCUCGGCUUAACCGGGGAACUGCGUCUGAUACUGGAUGGCUUGAGUUUGGGAGAGGGAUGCGGAAUUCCAGGUGUAGCGGUGAAAUGCGUAGAUAUCUGGAGGAACCCCGGUGGGGAAGGCGGCCUCCCGGGCCAACACUGACGCUGAGUGAGCGAAAGCCAGGGGAGCAAACGGG
rnacentral:rRNA from 1 species